rnacentral:rRNA from 1 species
AGCAGCCAUCAUUUAAAGAAAGCGUAAUAGCUCACUGGUCGAGUCGGCCUGCGCGGAAGAUGUAACGGGGCUAAACCAUGCACCGAAGCUGCGGCAGCGUCACUAUGUGUUGUUGGGUAGGGGAGCGUUCUGUAAGCCUGCGAAGGUGACCGGUGAGGGUUGCUGGAGGUAUCAGAAGUGCGAAUGCUGACAUAAGUAACGAUAAAGCGGGUGAAUAGCCCGCUCGCCGGAAGACCAAGGGUUCCUGUCCAACGUUAAUCGGGGCAGGGUGAGUCGACCCCUAAGGCGAGGCCGAAAGGCGUAGUCGAUGGGAAA